rnacentral:rRNA from 1 species
CCUACGGUGGGCUGCAGUGGGGAAUAUUGCACAAUGGGCGAAAGCCUGAUGCAGCAACGCCGCGUGAGCGAUGAAGGCCUUCGGGUCGUAAAGCUAUGUCCUCAAGGAAGAUCAUGACGGUACUUGAGGAGGAAGCCCGGGGAACUACGUGACAGCAGCCGCGGUUAAACGUAGGGGGGUAGCGUUAUUCGGAAUUAAGGGGCGAAAAGGGUGCGUUGGUGGUUUCUUAAGUCAGAGGUGAACGGCUACGGGUCAACCGUAGUAAGCCUUUGAAACUGGGGAACUUGAGUGCAGGAGAGGAGAGUGGAAUUCCUAGUGUAGCGGUGAAAUGCGUAGAUAUUAGGAGGAACACCAGUUGCGAAGGCGGCUCUCUGGACUGUAACUGACACUGAGGCACGAAAGCGUGGGGAGCAAACAGGAUUAGAUACCCGAGUAGUC